rnacentral:misc_RNA from 1 species
GGUACAAAUAGCUCUGAUUAUGUGGCUAACAUGCAUGAUGAGGAAACCUGAUCUUGACUAAAUUUUCUAAAGGGCUUGGAGUUGAUAGGCUUCGAUCCACCUGAAAAGUGAUGAAAUCAGAGAUUAGAAGGGAGUAACGUGAUGAUGCAUGUUGAUUUGAAUGUGGAGAUAGUUAAAUCAGUUGUAACCAACACUUAUCUCAUAUUAUAAUCUCAAUAACUAAAUCUCUUGUAUAAAAGGCUUUCAUACCAAAGGAAAAAGAUAGAAUGAAAAUUCUCCAAGAAAUCUUAAUUGAGUUGCUCCCCUUCAG